UUUAUACUCCCUCCGAUCCAUAUUACUUGUCUUUGAUUUGUCUAGAUAUAGAUGUAUGUAGACACGUGUUAGUGUUAGAUACAUCCAUAUCUAGGCAAAUCUAGACAAGUAAUAUGAAUCAGAGGGAGUAGUUU
rfam:Triticum urartu cultivar G1812 contig350463, whole genome shotgun sequence.